UCCACACAACUAACACUAGAAUAUCCCCAUGAAAGGUAGAUCCACACACAACUAACACUAGAAAUAUCCCCAUGAAAGGUAGAUCCACACACAACUAACACUAGAAUAUUUCCAUAUAAGGUAGAUCCACACACAACUAACACUAGAAUAUCCCCAUGAAAGGUAGAUCCACACACAACUAACACUAGGAAUAUCCCCAUGAAAGGUAGAUCCACACACAACUAACACUAGAAUAUUUCCAUAUAAGGUAGAUCCACACACAACUAACACUAGAAUAUCCCCAUGAAAGGUAGAUUUACACACAACUAACACUAGGAAUAUCUCCAUGAAAGGUAGAUCCACACACAACUAACACUAGAAUAUCCCCAUGAAAGGUAGAUCCACACA